UAAUCUUCACAUUUCUACGACCAUUCCAGCUCGGGUCAAUCAAGCCAUCACCUCGCAGUGUAUCCACAUCAACCAACAAGAUGAAGGCAGCCAUGAUGUUCCUUGUCCUGUUUUUUACUGUAACUUUGUUUUCAGAAUCUGAGUGUUUUACUGCAGGGAUCGGAAACGUAGGAAAAAGACAGUUCAACAAGGUGUAUCAAUCACUAGACCGCGUUUGCCGUCAAACGCAAGAAAUCUGUUCGGAGGCCGCGAAGGAAUUGGUCCGAAGAUCCAAGACGGUGGAGAAUUCCCGAGAAGCUACGAUCAACAAUUGACAUUAAAAUUAACUAGGAACAUAUUACUGAGUACCCAAACGCAAUGACAACAGCUCGCAAAAUAUCGACCGCUUACAAAAAUGCAGGCGGACAGUUUAAAUUUUACGGAGAGCGAUUGAUUAAAUUUGUGUAUAAAAUACUAUUAAUCGUAAAUUCGGAAUUACCCAUUUACGAUGCAAAUGUAAAAAAAAAUUGAAGAGGAAAAACCUUCAAUAAAUUAAUUACACACACAA